CCUACGGGUGGCAGCAGUGAGGAAUAUUGGUCAAUGGACGAGAGCCUGAACCAGCCAAGUAGCGUGAAGGAUGACUGCCCUAUGGGUUGUAAACUUCUUUUAUAUGGGAAUAAAAUGUUCCACGUGUGGCUUUUUGUAUGUACCAUAUGAAUAAGGAUCGGCUAACUCCGUGCCAGCAGCCGCGGUAAUACGGAGGAUCCGAGCGUUAUCCGGAUUUAUUGGGUUUAAAGGGAGCGCAGGUGGGUUGUUAAGUCAGUUGUGAAAGUUUGCGGCUCAACCGUAAAAUUGCAGUUGAAACUGGCAGUCUUGAGUACAGUAGAGGUAGGCGGAAUUCGUGGUGUAGCGGUGAAAUGCUUAGAUAUCACGAAGAACUCCGAUUGCGAAGGCAGCUCACUGGACUGCAACUGACACUGAGGCUCGAAAGUGUGGGUAUCAAACAGGAUUAGAUACCCUUGUAGUC
rnacentral:rRNA from 1 species